AUAAGAGAAGGAGAGGGAGGAAAAAGUGCCAAAGCCAGCACUUUGAGAAAAAAAGAAGAAGACUGCAAGUAAUCACUUAAAAGAAGAAGAAAAAAGCUUCACAGUUGGGCUCAUCCACUCUGCCCUGCUGCUCUUCAGUCAUCUCUAAGCUGGCUCCAGGUGAGAUGUGCCAUGCUAGCAGAUGACGCCCAUCUCUCCAUCUGGGGGCCCUAACUGGAACCCAGAUCUCAUCAGUUCCUGACAGUGUGGACAGUGUUAAGAGAAAAUUGGAGUUGGAGUCUAACAGGUGACAAGUUCUUGGAAUAUAUGAAAAGAUUAUCUGGGAUAACGAAAGAGGAAGCAUAUGGAAGCCAACUAAAAAUGGCAAAUAUGCAGAGAAGAGCCUUGGUAAAAUGCUGUCCUUUUCACCUAGGAUAUGCAUAUCUGUGCUGUGGAUUCCAGCACUCUCUCUCUCCCUCCCACUGAAAUCCUACAGAUCUGGAAAGAGAACAGAGACAUCACUUCCUUCCUGCUCAGCUAAUUAAAAGCUGGCCACGCGGUUGCUGAAGGGUGUUCUAAGCCAGAGAUUUUCACAGCUGGAACUCAGAAGAACAUAGGAUAAGUGAACCGUGGGUGUGGAACCCAUGCAAAUAAAGAAUUAACAAGAAA